AAAUUUCCACAUUUAUAGUAAACUACUACAACACCCACAGUCAUCAUAAAAUGCAAUUGGACACUGCACUCUUAGAAAUGAAGCAUGGGUGUAGUUUAAUUUAGAUAUUAGUUUUAUGGUAAAAUUACUAAAAGUAUUAUGUUUAUAUAGUAAAAAUAAGCAAGUUUCAUUGCAUUAAAUUAAUAGUAUAAUAUUUCAAGUCUACAAAAUGUCACAGAUUCAAACCAACUUAACCAGAUCAUUUUAAACCUACUAGCGGUUGAAGAUUGUCCCAAAGCGCUUUCCGUACUUGCAAUUUCGCACAUGCACGGGACGACGCAUCCAUUUUCCACCUGUCCUUGGCCAACUUUUGUAAAUCUGUUAUCAUCCAUAAAUUAUUUGGCUCUGAAUGUGGAGGUGCAAACAGUUAAACUUAAAACUCAUUCGAAGUCGAAGUCAUGUUGAUGUUUUACAUUUAAGGACUACAGAGAGCCAGGUAAAUGCAGAAUUCACCCUCAUCACCACAGUCCCCCUGUUCUCAACCUUUAUGUCCCGACUGGAUCAUUACUAUAGCCAGCUAUUGAGGGUAUUCAAAAAGAAGGGGGGAACAGCAAGACGUGAUAUCGACGUAAUCAUUGCAGAAAUGGACAUGAAUCCCAGUGUUGAAGUACGACAGACAUGCAUCCUAAAGGCGUUGUGCGUCUACUUAAAUGAAAAGCCUGACAGCCUUAUUAAGGAGUACUGGGCUACUGAGGAUAUUGGUAUUGAUGCAAUGACAGAAAUGGAGAGACUGGCUUUGGGUGUCUACAUUGUUCGACAUGAUGGAGCAGAUGCUUCAGAUCCACCUGAGGAUGUUGGCGUCGUCAUUGAAGGCUGCACAGUGCUGCGAUCUAGUGUUUAAACUUGAGCUAUCCCAAGGAGCUGCGAUACACUUUCGAAUUUCUUCAGAAAGUGUCUAUGGAAUUGGAUGGGAACAAGCUCUCCACUAAAGUGCAGGUCCUCAAAAACAAACUGCAUGAGUAAAAUCACCUGCACCAGACAAGACUGGACCUGGCUUUGGACACUUUAAUUGUGUUGACUGUUACUUUAUUUUUGGACUGCUGCUAGACAAAAUAAAGCUGUGAUCAAUGAUGGUUUGUAAUAAGCA
ensembl:lncRNA